rnacentral:tRNA from 1 species
GUCCCAGUAUCAUAGUGGUUACUGCACAGCCCCGGAUAGGUUGAGACGCAGGUUCGAAUCCCGUCUGGGAUG